GAUGAACGCUGGCGGCGUGCCUAAUACAUGCAAGUCGAGCGAAUGGAUUAAGAGCUUGCUCUUAUGAAGUUAGCGGCGGACGGGUGAGUAACACGUGGGUAACCUGCCCAUAAGACUGGGAUAACUCCGGGAAACCGGGGCUAAUACCGGAUAACAUUUUGAACCGCAUGGUUCGAAAUUGAAAGGCGGCUUCGGCUGUCACUUAUGGAUGGACCCGCGUCGCAUUAGCUAGUUGGUGAGGUAACGGCUCACCAAGGCAACGAUGCGUAGCCGACCUGAGAGGGUGAUCAGCCACACUGGGACGGAGACACGGCCCAGACUCCUACGGGAGGCAGCAGUAGGGAAUCUUCCGCAAUGGACGAAAGUCUGACGGAGCAACGCCGCGUGAGUGAUGAAGGCUUUCGGGUCGUAAAACCCUGUUGUUAGGGAAGAACAAGUGCUAGUUGAAUAAGCUGACACCUUGACGGUACCUAACCAGAAAGCCACGGCUAACUACGUGCCAGCCGCCGCAGUAA
rnacentral:rRNA from 1 species